rnacentral:rRNA from 1 species
AACGAACGCUGGCGGCAGGCUUAACACAUGCAAGUCGAGCGCCCCGCAAGGGGAGCGGCAGACGGGUGAGUAACGCGUGGGAAUCUACCCAUCUCUACGGAAUAACGCAUGGAAACGUGUGCCAAUACCGUAUACGUCCUUCGGGAGAAAGAUUUAUCGGAGAUGGAUGAGCCCGCGUUGGAUUAGCUAGUUGGUGGGGUAAAGGCCUACCAAGGCGACGAUCCAUAGCUGGUCUGAGAGGAUGAUCAGCCACACUGGGACUGAGACACGGCCCAGACUCCUACGGGAGGCAGCAGUGGGGAAUAUUGGACAAUGGGCGCAAGCCUGAUCCAGCCAUGCCGCGUGAGUGAUGAAGGCCCUAGGGUUGUAAAGCUCUUUCACCGGUGAAGAUAAUGACGGUAACCGGAGAAGAAGCCCCGGCUAACUUCGUGCCAGCAGCCGCGGUAAUACGAAGGGGGCUAGCGUUGUUCGGAUUUACUGGGCGUAAAGCGCACGUAGGCGGACUAUUAAGUCAGGGGUGAAAUCCCGGGGCUCAACCCCGGAACCGCCUUUGAUACUGGUAGUCUUGAGUUCGAGAGAGGUGAGUGGAAUUCCGAGUGUAGAGGUGAAAUUCGUAGAUAUUCGGAGGAACACC